CCUACGGGUGGCAGCAGUAGGGAAUCUUUCACAAUGGGCGAAAGGCUGAUGGAGCCACGCCGCGUGAAGGAUGGAGGCCUUCGGGUUGUGAACUGCUUUUUUACGAGAGAACUAUUAUGGUACCUUAUGCAUAAGUAUCGGCUCACUACGUGCCAGCAGCCGCGGUCAUAUGUAGGCUCCGCGCAUAAUCCUGGGUGACCGGGGGUAAAUAGUUGCGUUGGUGGUGAGAUAAGUAACAUGUGAAAUGUGGUGGAUCAACCAUUCAGCCUGCUAUCUAAACUGUUAAGCUCGAGUGCGUUGGGGGUAAGUGGAAUUUGUAGUGUAGGAGUGAAAUCCAUAGAUAGUAGAAAGAACACCGAUUGCGAAGGCAGCUUACGGGGACGGUUCUGACGCUGAUGCACGAAAGCGUAGGUAGCAAACGGGAUUAGAUACCCUUGUAGUC
rnacentral:rRNA from 1 species